rnacentral:rRNA from 1 species
GAGUUUGAUUCUGGCUCAGAACGAACGCUGGCGGCAUGCCUAACACAUGCAAGUCGAACGAGACCUUCGGGUCUAGUGGCGCACGGGUGCGUAACGCGUGGGAAUCUGCCUUUGGGUUCGGAAUAACAGUGAGAAAUUACUGCUAAUACCGGAUGAUGUCUUCGGACCAAAGAUUUAUCGCCCAAAGAUGAGCCCGCGUAAGAUUAGCUAGUUGGUGAGGUAAAGGCUCACCAAGGCGACGAUCUUUAGCUGGUCUGAGAGGAUGAUCAGUCACACUGGGACUGAGACACGGCCCAGACUCCUACGGGAGGCAGCAGUGGGGAAUAUUGGACAAUGGGCGAAAGCCUGAUCCAGCAAUGCCGCGUGAGUGAUGAAGGCCUUAGGGUUGUAAAGCUCUUUUACCAGGGAUGAUAAUGACAGUACCUGGAGAAUAAGCUCCGGCUAACUCCGUGCCAGCAGCCGCGGUAAUACGGAGGGAGCUAGCGUUGUUCGGAAUUACUGGGCGUAAAGCGUACGUAGGCGGUUAUUCAAGUCAGAGGUGAAAGCCCGGGGCUCAACCCCGGAACUGCCUUUGAAACUAGAUAGCUUGAAUCUUGGAG